AGAGUUUGAUCCUGGCUCAGGAUGAACGCUGGCGGCGUGGAUAAGGCAUGCAAGUCGAGCGCGCCCGCAAGGGCGAGCGGCAGACGAGUCAGUAUUACCUUGGUACCUACCCCCGAGACGGGGAUAACACCGCGAAAGCGGUGCUAAUACCCGAUAGUCUCGCAAGAGUAAAGACGCAAGUCACUUGGGGAGGGGCCUCGGUCUGAUCAGCUAGUUGGUGAGGUAAUGGCUCACCAAGGCUAUGACCAGUAGGGGGUGUGAGAGCAUGACCCCCGACGAGGGAACUGAGACACGGUCCCUACUCCUACGGGAGGCAGCAGUCGAGAAUAUUCGACAAUGGGCGAAAGCCUGAUCGAGCGACGCCGCGUGGAGGAAGACGCCCUUCGGGGUGUAAACUCCUUUUCAUUGGGAAGAACUUUUUGUGACUGUACCAGUGGAAUAAGAGGUUGCUAACUCUGUGCCAGCAGCCGCGGUAAUACAGAGACCUCAAGCGUUAUCCGGAUUUAUUGGGCGUAAAGCGUCUGCAGGUGGUAAGGAAAGUUUGCGGUUAAAGACCCCGGCUUAACCGGGGGAGUGCUGUGAAAACUACCUUGCUAGAGGACAUGAGAGGCCACUAGAACUUAUGGUGUAGGGGUGAAAUCCGUUGAUACCAUAGGGAAUACCAAGGGCGAAGGCAUGUGGCUGGUAUGUUCCUGACACUCAGAGACGAAAGCGUGGGGCGCGAAUGGGAUUAGAUACCCCAGUAGUCCACGCCCUAAACAUUGGAUGCUAGCUGUGGGGAGUAUCGACCCUCUCUGCGGCGAAGCUAACGCGUUAAGCAUCCCGCCUGGGAAGUACGGCCGCAAGGCUAAAACUCAAAGGAAUAGACGGGGACUUGCACAAGCGGUGGAGCAUGUGGUUCAAUUCGACGAUAAGCGAAGAACCUUACCAGGGCUUGAAAUUCUGACGAUUGCCUUCCGAAAGGAAGGAGUUCCUCACAAGGGACGGCAGGACAGGUGCUGCAUGGUUGUCGUCAGCUCGUGCCGUGAGGUGUUCCGUUCAGUCGGGUAACGAGCGCAACCCCUUUCGUGUGUUAUUUGUGUCACACGAUACUGCCCCGGCCAACGGGGAGGAAGGUGGGGAUGACGUCAAAUCAGCAUGGCCCUCUGAUGCCCUGGGCUACACACGUGCUACAGUGGCAACCACAAAGGGACGCGAAGCGGCAACGCGGAGCUAAUCCCAAAAAAAUUGCCUCGGUUCGGAUUGGAGGCUGCAAUUCGCCUCCAUGAAGACGGAAUCGCUAGUAAUCGCGGGUCAGCUAUACCGCGGUGAAUACGUUCUCAAGUCUUGUACUCACCGCCCGUCAAGCCAGUGAAGCCAGCAGCACCCGAAGGUCCACUUAUGUGGGAUCACGGUGAGGUUGGUGACAAGGGCUAAGUCGUAACAAGGCAGCCGUAGCGGAAGCUGUGGCUG
rnacentral:rRNA from 1 species